GGGGUUGUGGCUCAGUGGUAGAGUGCAUGCACGAGGUGCUGAGUUCAAUCCUCAGCAGCACAU
rnacentral:tRNA from 1 species